GACGAACGCUGGCGGCGUGCUUAACACAUGCAAGUCGAACGGAAAGGCCCUGCUUUUGUGGUGUGCUCGAGUGGCGAACGGGUGAGUAACCCGUGAGUAACCUGCCCUUGACUUUGGGAUAACUUCAGGAAACUGGGGCUAAUACCGGAUAGGAGCUCCUGCUGCAUGGUGGGGGUUGGACAGUUUCGGCGGUUGGGGAUGGACUCGCGGCUUAUCAGCUGGUUGGUGGGGUAGUGGCUUACCAAGGGUUUGGUGGAUAGCCGGCCUGGGAGGGUGACCGGCCACAUGGGGACUGCGAGACGGCCCAGACGCCUACAGUAGGCAGCAGUGGGGAAUAUUGCACAGUGGGCGGAAGCCUGAUGCAGCAACGCCGCGAUCGGGAUGACGGCCUUCGGGUUGUAAACCGCUGUCGCCUGUGACGAAGCGGGAGUGACGGUAAUGGGUAAAGAAGCACCGGCUAACUACGUG
rnacentral:rRNA from 1 species